GACGAACGCUGGCGGCGUGCUUAACACGUGCAAGUCGAACGGAAAGGCCCUGCUUUUGUGGGGUGCUCGAGUGGCGAACGGGUGAGUAACACGUGAGUAACCUGCCCUUGACUUUGGGAUAACUUCAGGAAACUGGGGCUAAUACCGGAUAGGAGCUCCUGCUGCAUGGUGGGGGUUGGAAAGUUUCGGCGGUUGGGGACGGACUCGCGGCUUAUCAGCUUGUUGGUGGGGUAGUGGCUUACCAAGGCUUUGACGGGUAGCCGGCCUGAGAGGGUGACCGGCCACAUUGGGACUGAGAUACGGCCCAGACUCCUACGGGAGGCAGCAGUGGGGAAUAUUGCACAAUGGGCGGAAGCCUGAUGCAGCAACGCCGCGUGCGGGAUGACGGCCUUCGGGUUGUAAACCGCUUUCGCCUGUGACGAAGCGUGAGUGACGGUAAUGGGUAAAGAAGCACCGGCUAACUACGUGCCAGCAGCCGCGGUGAUACGUAGGGUGCGAGCGUUGUCCGGAUUUAUUGGGCGUAAAGGGCUCGUAGGUGGUUGAUCGCGUCGGAAGUGUAAUCUUGGGGCUUAACCCUGAGCGUGCUUUCGAUACGGGUUGACUUGAGGAAGGUAGGGGAGAAUGGAAUUCCUGGUGGAGCGGUGGAAUGCGCAGAUAUCAGGAGGAACACCAGUGGCGAAGGCGGUUCCCUGGGCCUUUCCUGACGCUGAGGAGCGAAAGCGUGGGGAGCGAACAGGCUUAGAUACCCUGGUAGUCCACGCUGUAAACGGUGGGUACUAGGUGUGGGGUCCAUUCCACGGGUUCCGUGCCGUAGCUAACGCUUUAAGUACCCCGCCUGGGGAGUACGGCCGCAAGGCUAAAACUCAAAGGAAUUGACGGGGCCCCGCACAAGCGGCGGAGCAUGCGGAUUAAUUCGAUGCAACGCGUAGAACCUUACCUGGGUUUGACAUGGAUCGGGAGUGCUCAGAGAUGGGUGUGCCUCUUUUGGGGUCGGUUCACAGGUGGUGCAUGCCUGUCGUCAGCUCGUGUCGUGAGAUGUUGGGUUAAGUCCCGCAACGAGCGCAACCCUUGUUCACUGUUGCCAGCACGUUAUGGUGGGGACUCAGUGGAGACCGCCGGGGUCAACUCGGAGGAAGGUGGGGAUGACGUCAAGUCAUCAUGCCCCUUAUGUCCAGGGCUUCACGCAUGCUACAAUGGCUGGUACAGAGAGUGGCGAGCCUGUGAGGGUGAGCGAAUCUCGGAAAGCCGGUCUCAGUUCGGAUUGGGGUCUGCAACUCGACCUCAUGAAGUCGGAGUCGCUAGUAAUCGCAGAUCAGCAACGCUGCGGUGAAUACGUUCCCGGG
rnacentral:rRNA from 1 species